UAACGUGCUCAUUCUAGGUCUGCUAUUUCACCAUAACACACCAAAUCUAGAAGCAUCACUCUUUCAAAAAUAAUUUUGCUCUAUUCAUCUUGUAUAUGUCUGUUACGAUUUCAAUUUUCUGACAGAACAAACUAUCAACACCUCUGUUAAUUGCUUAACAAUGGAAUGAAUUUUGAUAUAUCUAUUUGGACUUAUAGUUAGCGCUGCUGCAUAUAUUUAUGACUUACAGGUAAGUGUUCCCUAUUUUGGGAAUUUUUCCUUUUUCUCUUCGAAUUCCAUAGAUUAUAUUUUGCACCGCUAAUUGCAAUAGAAGUUUUCGGUGUUUAUCUUGUGUAUUUAGCUCUUUUCUUAACUGAUUCUACUUAUUCAUAUUUUAUUUUGAAUAUCUGGUGCCAAAUUUCUUGGUUCUGUCCAGACGGCCUCAAAGAUGUUCUUUGAGAGGUCGCAACAUUUUAGAAAUAUGAGUCGUCUACAAUGAGGUAAUGUUCGUGAGAUUUUACCCUUUUAUUCUUCGUUCUCCAUCACCACUGGCCUCAAUGGAAAAAAUAAAAUUUAUUAAAGGCAAUUGUUGUAGCCUUAGUCUCUUUUUUAAACUAAUUUUGCACAUGCUUAUGCUCAUUGACUAUUUUGUGUCAAUUUGUUAGCAAUCAAUGGUACUAAAGGAACUUAAUGCGAAUAGAAAAAGGCUUUUUGAACUAAACUCUCAAAGGUAGACGAAUGAUGGAUUAGUUUCACAAGCUAUUAGUGGUUCCAAGAGCUAAUCUCAGUUAUCAUAGAUAUGUCAAACCCAAAAAUUUGUAGUGGCAGCAAGAAGAGAGCAAGAAGGGUACAACUUCAAAUUUAGAGCAAGAAGUGCUAAAAGCAUCAGAUCCACAUGUGAGACGUCUGUUUUACCAAUUAAAAAGGACUUUGUGUGAAUAUACAAUGAUUGGUACAAAUGCUAAAGGAGAUUGGCUUGUUAUGAAAAUGAAAGUAAGAUUUUCGACUUGGAAGGUAACCGAUUCAAAAGACCAACUCUUCCCAAGCUUUGCAAUUUUCCAAACAUUGUAGAAAUGUUAAGUGCACUUUGACUGUCUGUCAUUGUCCAUUGUAUGCAGAGUCUGAGCUAGAUAUUUGUUAUUGUUCACUGUUUCAGAUUGAAUUCCCUAAGCUUCAAGUAUAUGUGAUGUAGCUUGGAUGCUUGAUUUCUGUGAUUGCAAAGUAAAAUAUUUUGUUCUUUGUUUCCUGACUUCUUUUGUUUUUGCAACUUAAAUAUUUGGGAGGUUUGAUUUACAUGGCAUGUAUUUUACUUUUUCAGUUUUUGUGUCUUCAUGUUUGAGACUUCUGAAUUUACAUUCCCUUGUAAAUAAAAAAUGUCUUACGUUUGAGGUUUA